UCGAGGAUCUUCGGCAAUGGGCGAAAGCCUGACCGAGCGAUGCCGCGUGCGCGAUGAAGGCCUUCGGGUUGUAAAGCGCGAAAGAGGGGAGAAAAGCCCGAAAGGGCCUGAUCUAUCCUCAGUAAGCUCGGGCUAAGUUCGUGCCAGCAGCCGCGGUAAGACGAACCGAGCGAACGUUGUUCGGAAUCACUGGGCUUAAAGGGCGCGUAGGCGGGCUGUCAAGUCUGGGGUGAAAUCCCGCGGCUCAACCGUGGAACUGCCUCAGAUACUGACGGUCUCGAGGGGGAUAGGGGCGAGCGGAACUGUGAGUGGAGCGGUGAAAUGCGUUGAUAUUCACAGGAACUCCGGUGGCGAAGGCGGCUCGCUGGAUCUCUUCUGACGCUGAGGCGCGAAAGCUAGGGGAGCAAACG
rnacentral:rRNA from 1 species